GGCGGAAUGCUUUACACAUGCAAGUCGAGCGGCAGCGCGGGGCAACCUGGCGGCGAGCGGCGAACGGGUGAGUAAUGCAUCGGAACAUGUCCAUUCGUGGGGGAUAGCCCGGCGAAAGCCGGAUUAAUACCGCAUACGCCCCGAGGGGGAAAGCGGGGGACUUCGCAAGAGGCCUCGCGCGAAUGGGUUGGCCGAUGUCCGAUUAGCUAGUUGGUGGGGUAAAGGCUUACCAAGGCGGUGAUCGGUAGCUGGUCUGAGAGGAUGAUCAGCCACACUGGGACUGAGACACGGCCCAGACUCCUACGGGAGGCAGCAGUGGGGAAUUUUGGACAAUGGGGGAAACCCUGAUCCAGCCAUUCCGCGUGAGUGAAGAAGGCCUUCGGGUUGUAAAGCUCUUUUGUCCGGAGCGAAACGGUUAGCGUGAAUAGCGCUGACUACUGACGGUACCGGAAGAAUAAGCACCGGCUAACUACGUGCCAGCAGCCGCGGUAAUACGUAGGGUGCGAGCGUUAAUCGGAAUUACUGGGCGUAAAGCGUGCGCAGGCGGUUU
rnacentral:rRNA from 1 species